rnacentral:lncRNA from 1 species
ACGCCGACCGAAAAUCUAGGCAGGCGCCAGCGCGCAGAUCACUCCCGUGGCAAAAUCGUUUCUCGCGACAGGCAGUAGUGGCUGUCUGUAAAAAUGACGUGUCGGGUUUCUGUUUCGAGAGAAAUCUUAAAUUCUGCCACCACAUAAAAACGUGUUGCUCGUCUUGGCUGCCAAGCAAUCAGACCGUACUGGCGUGUUCAGAUCGUUGGCAACGUGUUUCUUCUCGGCUCAGCUUAGUUACAAAAGACAGUGGUACUGAACUUUGGGGCAUGCGCUUUCUGCUUGAAUGGCGUCAUCACACCCAAACGAGCCUUUUGGUCUAAAAAUAAAGGAACUAAAUACGAGUAGUACACGAUAUCUUCACGAUAUUAAUAUGCUGUGAGAACUGAGAAAACAAGCUGUCGCAGUUUGCUAUUGUUCGUGAAGUGGCACGAUAUUUGCAUUGAAGAGGUGAGGUGAGAUGAACGGACAAGCAAACGCAAACUGCCUUCUUCAAGUUGACAUAUCAAUGAUCAGACGGUAGUGAGUGUCAAACAGGGCCAGAGGCCGCAUCGGCCAAUGACUAAUUAUUUCCUCCCAAUGUUGCAGCGAACGAGCUAUUUAAUGUACAACGCAGCCGCAAGCCCUUUCGAUCCGAUCCUGAUUUCACAACAGCCACUUGCAAAGCUGCUUCAGCUGGAACAAGCUCAGACCUUCGAUGGUGGAUCCUGGAAACCGCAAACCAUAUUGGCGGGUACAGCAACGUCGAUCAUCUUUGGGUAAGACAGGUUCAGAUCUGCCCAAGUAGAGAGAAAGGAAACCAUCAACUCAUCUUCCGGCUAAGAAAUUGAUUGAAAUUAGGAGUGGAUCAGUUCGAUCCGGUAAGGGUGAAACUGUCUUUGUGAGCUUGAGUGAACAGUUAAAUCGUUUUUUUAAAUCUGAUUUUAUUAGCAAACAUUUACAAAUGUUUUCACUACUUGUAAAGUUUAAUCCCAAAAUUACAUUUGUGCUUUCAUAAAAAAAAAUACAUUUGUGGAAGACAUGGAAAGAAAACAAAAUCAAUGCUUUUGAAAAUGACACUUUUGGAGCAUCGGUUUUGAUAUUUUGACACGUUUUCCACAAAUGCCAUCCGAUGUUGAAACUUUGCAAGCAAUGAAAACAUUUUUCUAUGUUUGCUACAAAAAUAAUUCAGAUGUUUUUUUUCUUUUUUCCCGACUGUACUAUUCCAUGAUCUCGAGCGCAGUUUAACCGCGUCCAAGGGUAAGGGGGCAUUAUCAGAAACGAACACAGGUAUUCAUGUAUUCGACAGGCAGGUACUUACUUUCCAUGAUCGUCUUGAAAGUUUCCUGCAAGCAGAUCAUGCAAGACAUAGUUAGGAACGAACUGACACCUUUUAUGGGGUAAACAAUAAAGAAUUUUAGCCUAAUUAGCCGGUACCUUAUCUUUUGAUAGUCGGGCAUUAUAAGUAACCUCCUCUUCAACAGUAGUUACCUGCAGAUAGUAUAUUAACUCAAGCAACUAGCAACUUGAAAGCCAAAAUUUAAGAUGCUCAGUAAGCCACUUACCGUGAAACCUUUGUAGUCAUGAGCAGGAUAAAGCAGGGUAUCCUUUGGCAACGUGAAAAUCUGUUAAGGAAUAGAGUUUUCAGUUAGUUUAAUCCAUUGGGCAGUGUGCAUCCAUUUGGUUGGUGCAGAGGCUGGUAGAUCAAUAAAAGUCUUUUUGCAUAAGUUAGUUAUAAAUAGAUGCAUUAUGUUGCAGUUUUGUUUGUAUGACACCAAUACAAGAUUUUCAUGUAGUACUUGCCUGUGAAUGCACUGAUUGGUACAGCUGAUCGGAGCUUCCUCCCUGGAAUAAAAACAAACUAUCAAUACAAAAGAAAUUACCUUUGGCCAUAUCAGAAUUUUCUCUAAAAUUCAAACAUCCAGUGCAAGCUGAACUUAUGUCUGAAUCACAGGCUACUGCUACUAUGGAGCAUAACAGACAAUGAAUUUCAAUGCCUAAAAACUAGUCUUUAGCUCCAAAACACCAUUAAUACUUCUCCAUAUGAAGUGUUUCCUUCAGAUAUAGUUUUCCUGUUUAUUCUAGCUUUUCCAUAAGAUAUGCCUUUCCUGUUUUCCAGAUCAUGAAGAAGUGAGCGUGGUCACAAUAUUACCUGGAAGUCUGUCCUUCCGCAUGCACGUAUAAUUAAGGCAUCCCCAGUGAAAGCCAUCCUUG